rnacentral:rRNA from 1 species
UACGGGGGGGGCAAGCGUUGUUCGGAAUUACUGGGCGUAAAGGGCUCGUAGGCGGCCAACUAAGUCGGAUGUGAAAUCCCCAGGCUUAACCUGGGAACUGCAUCCGAUACUGGAUGGCUUGAAUCCGGGAGAGGGAUGCGGAAUUCCAGGUGUAGCGGUGAAAUGCGUAGAUAUCUGGAGGAACACCGGUGGCGAAGGCGGCAUCCUGGACCGGCAUUGACGCUGAGGAGCGAAAGCCAGGGGAGCGAAACAGGG